UGCCCAGCAACUCCUAUCCCUACCUCCUCGUGGUACUGGCCGGGGUACGAGUAACCUUGGGGAAGAUCGAUUAUCUAACCACGGUGGGAUGUUUGGUUGUAUGCUGACAGGGAAGG
rnacentral:ribozyme from 1 species